rnacentral:rRNA from 1 species
ACAUGCAAGUCGAACGCAUUGUGGUUGAAAUGAUAUGAGGAACUUGUUCAGAUUUGAUUUUCAACAUUGCAAUGAGUGGCGAACGGGUGAGUAACACGUGGGAAACCUACCUCUUAGCAGGGGAUAACAUUUGGAAACAAAUGCUAAUACCGUAUAAUAAUUAAAACCGCAUGGUUUUAGUUUAAAGAUGGUCUUGCUAUCACUAAGAGAUGGUCCCGCGGUGUAUUAGUUAGUUGGUGAGGUAAUGGCUCACCAAGACAAUGAUACAUAGCCGAGUUGAGAGACUGACCGGCCACAAUGGGACUGAGACACGGCCCAUACUCCUACGGGAGGCAGCAGUAGGGAAUCUUCCACAAUGGACGAAAGUCUGAUGGAGCAACGCCGCGUGUGUGAUGAAGGGUUUCGGCUCGUAAAACACUGUUGUAAGAGAAGAAUGACAUUGAGAGUAACUGUUCAAUGUGUGACGGUAUCUUACCAGAAAGGAACGGCUAAAUACGUG